rnacentral:rRNA from 1 species
UAACACGUAGGGGGCAAGCGUUGUCCGGAUUUAUUGGGCGUAAAGAGCUCGUAGGUGGUUCGGUAAGUCAGGUGUGAAACCUCCAGGCUCAACCUGGAGACGCCACUUGAUACUGCUGUGACUGGAGUCCGGUAGGGGAGCGUGGAAUUCCUGGUGUAGCGGUGAAAUGCGCAGAUAUCAGGAGGAACACCAGCGGCGAAGGCGGCGCUCUGGGCCGGUACUGACACUGAGGAGCGAAAGCG